rnacentral:rRNA from 1 species
UACAGAGGGGGCAAGCGUUAUUCGGAAUUAUUGGGCGUAAAGGGCGCGUAGGCGGCCUGACAAGUGGAAGGUGAAAUCCCUCGGCUUAACCGAGGAACUGCCCUCCAAACUGUUUGGCUUGAGUCCGGGAGAGGUGAGUGGAAUUCCCAGUGUAGCGGUGAAAUGCGUAGAUAUUGGGAGGAACACCAGUGGCGAAGGCGGCUCACUGGACCGGAACUGACGCUGAUGCGCGAAAGCGUGGGGAGCGAACGGG